rnacentral:rRNA from 1 species
AGGUCCCGAGCGUUGUCCGGAUUUAUUGGGCGUAAAGCGAGCGCAGGCGGUUUUUUAAGUCUGAAGUAAAAGGCAUUGGCUCAACCAAUGUAUGCUUUGGAAACUGGAAGACUUGAGUGCAGCAGGGGAGAGUGGAAUUCCAUGUGUAGCGGUGAAAUGCGUAGAUAUAUGGAGGAACACCGGUGGCGAAAGCGGCUCUCUGGUCUGUAACUGACGCUGAGGCUCGAAAGCGUGGGUAGCGAA